AUCUGACACAGUGUAUGUUGAUGCAUGCGUAGACUUGUGUGCUUGACAACUGUAGGAAACACUUUCCACACACGAAUAAAAUAACAGUUUUAGAAAAUCGAUGGGUAUCUAACUGUAGGGGUGCACUGAUCCAUGUACGUUGCUAAUGAUAUACAAAGCUAGGUGAAUUUUAGAAGGGCGAAACUUCUUAUCUCAUAUCUCACGGUGAGUCACGCCUACGAAAACUGUUGUCAUCAAAAUCUGGAUGUUUAUAUUGAAAGAAAGCGUGUAUUGAUCACAGGUAUCAUACGUGUACUGAUUAACAUACAAGAUAGACGUUUUUUAGUCUGGAUAUUGUGGCAUUUCAAAUAAGUCUGUUUCGAUAAUGAAUACGGCACCAUUUGACGACGAUUACCAUAAUAUUACUUUCAUAGUAAACCCUGGUGACGGUAGAGAUUCAGUAAAUGUGGGGACGGCUAACCUCGUGUUUGUGAUUAGUACAGUUUUCUGGUUUUGUAUGAGCGCUGCAGUAACGAAAUAUGGCAAACCUAAGUUCGUGAAAUCAGACGUAAACUUCUAUAGAUGGCGUAAUAUAUUCAUUUCAUGGCUCCAUGGUGUACUUGGAGGAACAUGGAAUUUCUUAUGUGUGUUGUGGUACCCUGGCCUAUUGGAAGAUCCAGUGUUCUAUCUGAAUAAUUUUAUAUACCUCAUGAUCCCGUUUUCGAUGGGGUAUUUUCUGUAUGAUGUUAUAGAUAAUAUGAUGAAUGGAACGCUUCUAACAAAUUGGGAAGUUACUUUGCAUCAUGUAUUGGUUUUGAUUGGUUUUACAUACAACUGGACAGCGAAAGUUUGUCUUGGAUACAGCAUUUUAGCACUG